rnacentral:rRNA from 1 species
CUCAGGACGAACGCNGGCGGCGUGCCUAAUACAUGCAAGUCGAACGCUUCUUUCCUCCCGAGUGCUUGCACUCAAUUGGAAAGAGGAGUGGCGGACGGGUGAGUAACACGUGGGUAACCUACCCAUCAGAGGGGGAUAACACUUGGAAACAGGUGCUAAUACCGCAUAACAGUUUAUGCCGCAUGGCAUAAGAGUGAAAGGCGCUUUCGGGUGUCGCUGAUGGAUGGACCCGCGGUGCAUUAGCUAGUUGGUGAGGUAACGGCUCACCAAGGCCACGAUGCAUAGCCGACCUGAGAGGGUGAUCGGCCACACUGGGACUGAGACACGGCCCAGACUCCUACGGGAGGCAGCAGUAGGGAAUCUUCGGCAAUGGACGAAAGUCUGACCGAGCAACGCCGCGUGAGUGAAGAAGGUUUUCGGAUCGUAAAACUCUGUUGUUAGAGAAGAACAAGGACGUUAGUAACUGAACGUCCCCUGACGGUAUCUAACCAGAAAGCCACGGCUAACUACGUGCCAGCAGCCGCGGUAAUACGUAGGUGGCAAGCGUUGUCCGGAUUUAUUGGGCGUAAAGCGAGCGCAGGCGGUUUCUUAAGUCUGAUGUGAAAGCCCCCGGCUCAACCGGGGAGGGUCAUUGGAAACUGGGAGACUUGAGUGCAGAAGAGGAGAGUGGAAUUCCAUGUGUAGCGGUGAAAUGCGUAGAUAUAUGGAGGAACACCAGUGGCGAAGGCGGCUCUCUGGUCUGUAACUGACGC